rnacentral:rRNA from 1 species
CCUACGGGAGGCAGCAGUGAGGAAUAUUGGUCAAUGGGCGGAAGCCUGAACCAGCCAAGUAGCGUGCGGGAUGAAGGCCCUACGGGUCGUAAACCGCUUUUGCACGGGGAUAACACCCUCCACUUGUGGAUGUCUGCAGGUACCGUGCGAAUAAGGGCCGGCUAAUUCCGUGCCAGCAGCCGCGGUAAUACGGAAGGCCCGAGCGUUAUCCGGAUUCAUUGGGCUUAAAGGGAGCGUAGGCGGGCGUUCAAGUCAGCUGUAAAAUCGCGCGGCUCAACCGCGCCCCGCAGUUGAAACUGGACGCCUUGAGUUCACAACAGGCAGGCGGAAUUCGUGGGGGAGCGGUGAAAUGCAUAGAUAUCACGAGGAACCCCGAUUGCGAAGGCAGCCUGCCGGGGUGCGACUGACGCUGAGGCUCGAAGGUGCGGGUAUCAAACAGGAGUAGAUACCCUGGUAGUC